CCGGUAUGGUUUUUCAGUUAUUACAAUGGUUCUAAUAUCGAGCCCGAUGUGUCAUUACAAAAUUAAGCGGGUAACAAAAAGAUGGCGGAAAAGCGAAAGGCCUCCUGAGCCUACAAUAUUGAUUGUUCUCUGAAAUCUGGUGGAGCUGGCCACAGGUACCUCAAGCAUACAAACAUGUAUUGUGUGAUACUUGUUGUAUAGAGGUUCGAAUCGGCACAAAGCGGAAGACGUAACUAAAUGAGAAGCAGUAGAAUAUUGAUUGUAAGCACAAAGUAAGAUGAAUGGGUUAAUUUUUAGAUAUAUUCAAUAUAUUAUGAAGUUUUUAAUUUCACUGUCAUCAAUACAGGUUCUCUGAAAUCUGGUGGAGCUGGCCACAGGUACCUCAAGCAUACAUACAUGUAUUGUGUGAUACUUGUCGUAUAGAGGUUCGAAUCGGCACAAAGCGGAAGACGUAACUAAAUGAGAAGCAGUAGAAUAUUGAUUGUAAGCACAAAGUAAGAUGAAUGGGUUAAUUUUUAGAUAUAUUCAAUAUAUUAUGAAGUUUUUAAUUUCACUGUCAUCAAUACAGGUUCUCUGAAAUCUGGUGGAGCUGGCCACAGGUACCUCAAGCAUACAUACAUGUAUUGUGUGAUACUUGUCGUAUAGAGGUUCGAAUCGGCACAAAGCGGAAGACGUAACUAAAUGAGAAGCAGUAGAAUAUUGAUUGUAAGCACAAAGUAAGAUGAAUGGGUUAAUUUUUAGAUAUAUUCAAUAUAUUAUGAAGUUUUUAAUUUCACUGUCAUCAAUACAGGUUCUCUGAAAUCUGGUGGAGCUGGCCACAGGUACCUCAAGCUUACAUACAUGUAUUGUGUGAUACUUGUCGUAUAGAGGUUCGAAUCGGCACAAAGCGGAAGACGUAACUAAAUGAGAAGCAGUAGAAUAUUGAUUGUAAGCACAAAGUAAGAUGAAUGGGUUAAUUUUUAGAUAUAUUCAAUAUAUUAUGAAGUUUUUAAUUUCACUGUCAUCAAUACAGGUUCUCUGAAAUCUGGUGGAGCUGGCCACAGGUACCUCAAGCUUACAUACAUGUAUUGUGUGAUACUUGUCGUAUAGAGGUUCGAAUCGGCACAAAGCGGAAGACGUAACUAAAUGAGAAGCAGUAGAAUAUUGAUUGUAAGCACAAAGUAAGAUGAAUGGGUUAAUUUUUAGAUAUAUUCAAUAUAUUAUGAAGUUUUUAAUUUCACUGUCAUCAAUACAGGUUCUCUGAAAUCUGGUGGAGCUGGCCACAGGUACCUCAAGCUUACAUACAUGUAUUGUGUGAUACUUGUCGUAUAGAGGUUCGAAUCGGCACAAAGCGGAAGACAUAACUAAAUGAGAAGCAGUAGAAUAUUGAUUGUAAGCACAAAGUAAGAUGAAUGGGUUAAUUUUUAGAUAUAUUCAAUAUAUUAUGAAGUUUUUAAUUUCACUGUCAUCAAUACAGGUUCUCUGAAAUCUGGUGGAGCUGGCCACAGGUACCUCAAGCUUACAUACAUGUAUUGUGUGAUACUUGUCGUAUAGAGGUUCGAAUCGGCACAAAGCGGAAGACGUAACUAAAUGAGAAGCAGUAGAAUAUUGAUUGUAAGCACAAAGUAAGAUGAAUGGGUUAAUUUUUAGAUAUAUUCAAUAUAUUAUGAAGUUUUUAAUUUCACUGUCAUCAAUACAGGUUCUCUGAAAUCUGGUGGAGCUGGCCACAGGUACCUCAAGCAUACAUACAUGUAUUGUGUGAUACUUGUCGUAUAGAGGUUCGAAUCGGCACAAAGCGGAAGACGUAACUAAAUGAGAAGCAGUAGAAUAUUGAUUGUAAGCACAAAGGUUUGUUAGAUAACUCCUCUAGGCUCUAGCGCAUGUGACAACUCCAUUGAAACAGCACAGGAAUAGCUCGAAAUUAAAUGGAAGUUGAAACUGACAGGUA